UACAGAGGCCUCGAGCGUUAGGCGGAAUCACUGGGCUUAAAGCGUGUGUAGGUGGAGUUCUAAGUACCUUGUGAAAUCCCACGGCUCAACCGUGGAACUGCUGGGUAUACUGGUUCUCUUGAGGUACCUAGGGGCGAGCGGAACAAGUGGUGGAGCGGUGAAAUGCGUAGAUAUCACUUGGAACGCCAACGGUGAAAACAGCUCGCUGGGGGUAUCCUGACACUGAGACACGAGAGCCAGGGGAGCAAACGGG
rnacentral:rRNA from 1 species